GAAACUGAGGCACGGGGGUGCCCAGAGGAUCCUAAUCCAUCCCUAUAGGGCAUCAGGUGGGGGAAACUGGGGCACGGGGGUGCCCAGAGGGUCCCAAUCCAACCCCAUGAGGCCUUAAGUGCGGGAAACUGAGGCACAGGGGUGUCCAGAGGUUCCAAAUCCAUCCCCAUAGGGCAUCAGGUGGGGGAAACUGAGGCACGGGGGUGUCCAGAGGAUCCCAAUCCAACCCCAUGGGGUAUCACGUCGGGGAAACUGAGGCACGGGGGUGUCCAGAGGGUCCCAGUCCAACCCCAUGAGGCCUUAAGUGCGGGAAACUGAGGCACGGGGGUGCUCAUGGGGUGCCUGGAGGUCCCAAUUCAUCCCCAUAGGGCAUCAGGUGCGGGAAACUGAGGCACAGGAGUGCCCAGAGGGUCCCAAUCCAACCCCAUGAGGCCUUAAGUGAGGGGAAACUGAGGCACGGGGGUGCUCAUGGGGUGCCUGGAGGUCCCAAUUCAUCCCCAUGGGGCGUCAGGUGGGGGAAACUGAGGCACAGGGGUUGCCCAGAGGAUCCUAAUCCAUCCCCAUAGGGCAUUAGGUGGGGGAAACUGAGGCACGGGGGUGCCCAGAGGAUCCCAAUCCAACCCCAUGGGGUAUUACGUCGGGGAAACUGAGGCACAGGGGUGUCCAGAGGAUCCUAAUCCAAGCCCAUGAGGCCUUAAAUGAGGGAAACUGAGGCACAGGGGUUGCCCAGAGGAUCCUAAUCCAUCCCUAUAGGGCAUCAGGUGGGGGAAACUGGGGCACGGGGGUGCCCAGAGGGUCCCAAUCCAACCCCAUGAGGCCUUAAGUGAGGGGAAACUGAGGCACAGGGGUGCUCAUGGGGUGCCCAGAGGUCCCAAUUCAUCCCCAUGGGGCAUCAGGUGGGGGAAACUGACGCACAGGGGUGUCCAGAGGAUCCUAAUCCAUCCCUAUAGGGCAUCAGGUGGGGGAAACUGAGGCACAGGGGUGUCCAGAGGAUCCCAAUCCAACCCCAUGGGGUAUCAGGUGGGGGAAACUGAGGCACGGGAGUGCCCAGAGGGUCCCAAUCCAACCCCAUGAGGCCUUAAGUGAGGGAAACUGAGGCACGGGGGUGCUCAUGGGGUGCCUGGAGGUCCCAAUUCAUCCCCAUGGGGCGUCAGGUGGGGGAAACUGAGGCACAGGGGUGCCCAGAGGAUCCCAAUCCAUCCCCAUAGGGCACAGGUGGGGGAAACUGAGGCACGGGAGUGCCCAGAGGAUCCCAAUCCAACCCCAUGAGGCCUUAAGUGCGGGGAAACUGAGGCACAGGGGUGUCCAGAGGAUCUCAAUCCAUCCCCAUAGGGCAUCAGGUGGGGGAAACUGAGGCACAGGGGUGCCCAGGGGACACCACACACUGUCCCCAUCCAUCCCCACAAAGCCCCAGCCAAGGGAAACUGAGGCACAGCAUCACCUCCAGGGCUAUUUUUGGGUACCAGAUCCCCUCAGCACCCCCAAACUCCCCCCUAACCCCUUUGUCUUGUCCC